CCUACGGGUGACAGCAGUGAGGAAUAUUGGUCAAUGGACGCGAGUCUGAACCAGCCAAGUAGCGUGAAGGAUGACUGCCCUAUGGGUUGUAAACUUCUUUUAUAAAGGAAUAAAACGAGGCACGUGUGCCUUUUUGCAUGUACUUUAUGAAUAAGGAUCGGCUAACUCCGUGCCAGCAGCCGCGGUAAUACGGAGGAUCCGAGCGUUAUCCGGAUUGAUUGGGUUUAAGGGGAGCGUAGAUGGGUUGUUAAGUCAGUUGUGAAAGUUUGCGGCUCAACCGUAAAAUUGCAAUUGAUACUGGCAGUCUUGAGUACAGUUGAGGUAGGUGGAAUUCGUGGUGUAGCGGUGAAAUGCUUAGAUAUCACGAAGAACCCCGAUUGCGAAGGCAGCUUACUAAACUGUGACUGACAUUGAUGCUCGAAAGUGUGGGUAUCAAACAGGAUUAGAUACCCUAGUAGUC
rnacentral:rRNA from 1 species